UAGGGAAUCUUCCGCAAUGGGCGAAAGCCUGACGGAGCAACGCCGCGUGAGUGAUGAAGGUCUUCGGAUCGUAAAACUCUGUUAUUAGGGAAGAACAAAUGUGUAAGUAACUAUGCACGUCUUGACGGUACCUAAUCAGAAAGCCACGGCUAACUACGUGCCAGCAGCCGCGGUAAUACGUAGGUGGCAAGCGUUAUCCGGAAUUAUUGGGCGUAAAGCGCGCGUAGGCGGUUUUUUAAGACUGAUGUGAAAGCCCACGGCUCAACCGUUGAGGGUAAUUGGAAACUGGAAAACUUGAGUGCAGAAGAGGAAAGUGGAAUUCCAUGUGUAGCGGUGAGAUGCGCAGAGAUAUGGAGGAACACCAGUGGCGAAGGCGACUAUCUGGUCUGUAACUGACGCUGAUGAGCGAAAGCGUGGGGGUCAAACAGG
rnacentral:rRNA from 1 species